CCCGGAUGUAAUUGUAACAAGAAGCUGAUUCUCAAUAUAUCGUAUGACUGGAGUAAACACAGGGCUUCCUGGGUGCCCAUCCAGUCUUGAAAGCAAGCUGCCUCCAGUUCCUGCCGCUGAGUCCUUGGAGCCAUAUUCAGAUGAGAUCAUCUCAGGAGCCAACAGCAGUCGCUUUCAGGCAAAGUGAAUGGUGCCGCCUGGGGACAUAUCUUUGGUGAUGCCUCGCCAAGCAGAUAAGAUUACCUGUUCACCUACAGUUAAUCUUCAAACUGACUUCUGUAGGCUAUGGAAAUAAAAGGAUAAGACUGCGCAGCUUGAAUGUCCCAUCAAGGUAAUCAAAGUAAUGGAAGAGGGAGAGAAGACAGAUUUCAAAAUAAAGACUGAACUGUACUUCAGCAGCACUUAAGAAAACACUAUCUGACUAAGCUACUGAGGAGCAGACAAAUACCCAAAGGACUGCACAUUCUCUAAAGAUUACUGUGCUCACAGUUCUUGCUUUCCUCAAGGUUCUGCAAGAGAUCACAUCAUAAAAUCAUGUGUUAUCUUAAAAAUGGAUAGAUAUAUACUAACAUCCAGAAUUCUACUGAUUUUCUUACAAAUAAAACUACAACCUUAUUUCAACCCAAACCCCUGAAACAGGAAUAAAAUAUUUUGUUUAGUCUUUCAAAUGUUUCUCUCAUCCCUUUUAUAAGGAAAAAAAAAAAAGAUUAGAGAAAGG